GUGCAGCAGGCGAGAAACCUCCGCAAUGCGGGAAACCGCGACGGGGGACCCCGAGUGCCGUGGCAACGCCACGGCUUUUCCGGAGUGUAAAAAGCUCCGGGAAUAAGGGCUGGGCAAGGCCGGUGGCAGCCGCCGCGGUAAUACCGGCGGCCCGAGUGGUGGCCGCUAUUAUUGGGCCUAAAGCGUCCGUAGCCGGGCCCGUAAGUCCCUGGCGAAAUCCCACGGCUCAACCGUGGGGCUUGCUUGGGAUACUGCGGGUCUUGGGACCGGGAGAGGCGGGGGGUACCCCUGGGGUAGGGGUGAAAUCCUAUAAUCCCCAGGGGGACCGCCAGUGGCGAAGGCGCCCCGCUGGAACGGGUCCGACGGUGAGGGACGAAGGCCAGGGGAGCAAACCGGAUUAGAUACCCGCGUAGU
rnacentral:rRNA from 1 species